rnacentral:rRNA from 1 species
GUCCUUUUGUUUUAUAUUUAAGGUUUAACCUGCCCACUGAAUAAUUUAAAUGGCCGCAGUAUUUUAACUGUGCAAAGGUAGCAUAAUCAUUAGUUUUUUAAUUAAAAGCUUGUAUGAAAGGUUGGACGAGGUAAAAACUGUCUUUAUUUAAUUAAUUAUAAAAUUUAAUUUUUAAGUUAAAAAGCUUAAAUUUUUUUAAAAGACGAGAAGACCCUAUAGAUCUUUAUAUUUAUUAUUUUAUUUUUAAUUAAGAUUUAUUUAAAUUUUAUUAUAUUAAAUAUUUUAUUGGGGUAAUAAGAAGAUUAAAAAAAUUCUUUUAUAUAUUAUUCAUUGAUUAAUGUUUUAAUGAUCCAAUUUUAUUGAUUGUAAGAUUAAGUUACCUUAGGGAUAACAGCGUAAUUUUUUUAGAGAGUUCAUAUCGAUAAUAAAGUUUGCGACCUCGAUGUUGGAUUAAAGAUUAAUUUAGGUGUAGAUGUUUAAAUUUUUGGUCUGUUCGACCAUUAAAUCUUUACAUGAUCUGAGUUCAGACCGGUGUAAGCCAGGUCGGUUUCUAUCUUUAAUAAAAUAAUAUAUUUUAGUACGAAAGGACCAAAUAUAUAAUAUAUAAAUAUUUAUUAAUUUUUGAAUAUUAUUAAUUGCUUUGGCAGAUUAGUGCAAUGAAUUUAGAAUUCAUAUAUGUAAAUUUUUACAAGUAAUACUUGUUUUAUAUAGAUAUAAUAUUUUCUUUUAUUUGUAUAUUAUUAUUAAUUAUUUGUGUAUUA